rnacentral:rRNA from 1 species
GACGAACGCUGGCGGCGUGCUUAACACAUGCAAGUCGAACGGAAAGGCCCUGCUUUUGUGGGGUGCUCGAGUGGCGAACGGGUGAGUAACACGUGAGUAACCUGCCCUUGACUUUGGGAUAACUUCAGGAAACUGGGGCUAAUACCGGAUAGGAGCUCCUGCUGCAUGGUGGGGGUUGGAAAGUUUCGGCGGUUGGGGAUGGACUCGCGGCUUAUCAGCUUGUUGGUGGGGUAGUGGCUUACCAAGGCUUUGACGGGUAGCCGGCCUGAGAGGGUGACCGGCAACAUUGGGACGGAGAUACGGCCCAGACGCCUACGGGAGGCAGCAGUGGGGAAUAUUGCACAAUGGGCGGAAGCCUGAUGCAGCAACGCCGCGUGCGGGAGGACGGCCGUCGGGUUGUAAACCGCUUUCGCCUGGGACGAAGCGGGAGUGACGGUAAUGGGUAAAGAAGCACCGGCUAACUACGUG